CACGUAGGGCGCGAGCGUUGUCCGGAAUUAUUGGGCGUAAAGAGCUCGUAGGCGGCCUGUUGCGUCCGCUGUGAAAGCCCGGGGCUUAACCCCGGGUCGGCAGUGGAUACGGGCAGGCUAGAGGUAGGUAGGGGAGAAUGGAAUUCCCGGUGUAGCGGUGAAAUGCGCAGAUAUCGGGAGGAACACCGGUGGCGAAGGCGGUUCUCUGGGCCUUACCUGACGCUGAGGAGCGAAA
rnacentral:rRNA from 1 species